rnacentral:tRNA from 1 species
GCCUGUUUAGCGUAGUGGUUAUCGCGUUCCACUUGUAAUGGAAAGGUCCUUCGUUCAAAUCGGGGAAUGGGCA